ACAAGCCAACAAACUGAAGACAGAUCCCCCCAAUGUUCCUAAAUGGUCUUUGUUUUGGGUGCAUUGAUCGCCCUCAUUCGGUGCAUUUGCUGAAAAGGGAAUUGUAAACAUAUGUAUAACAGUAAAUCCUCGUAAAGAUGGAAGAAAAGCAGUAUACGUCACUGACGGUUCCUACGGAUUAUCUCCAACAGUGGUACCAGUCCACCCAGCAGCACCCCCAAGCUCAACAUGUGAUGCAGUACCAUAACACAGGUCAUAUGGGCCAUUACAUGGAGGGAUCCAGAGAGGACCGGGUCAUGACAGAGCUGUCGGUCCACCAGGAGCUCCCAGUCCACCAAGAGCUGGACUUCCAUCAUGACUUCCUCGGCCAUCAAGAGCCAAUUGUCCAACAUCAUCAGCCUGUGGAUACAUCACAAGCUCCAAUGCCAGGGAAGAGAAAGAGAGGUAGGCCUCCCAAACAGAAGCCGGGGGAGGGCCAACCGCAGGAGGAACACGAUCAGGCAGAAGCUCUGAAGAAAGCCAAAAGGACCCUUAACCGCUUCAAUGGCAUGUCAGUGGAUGAGGUCAUGGCCAAAACCCUGCCAGACAUUAUUGACCACAACCUCGACAUUUUGAUAAUUGGUAUCAAUCCAGGACUAUUGUCAGCCUACAAGGGACGACAUUACCCAAACCCAGGAAAUCAUUUUUGGAAAUGCCUGUUCCUCUCUGGUCUUACUGAUGAGCAACUCAACCACAUGCACGAUCAAAACUUACCGGAGAAGUAUGGCAUUGGCUUUACCAACAUGGUGGAGAGGACAACGCCAGGAAGCAAAGACCUCUCAAGCAAAGAGUUUCGUGAAGGAGGCCAUCAAUUGGUAGAGAAGCUGAAGAAAUACAAACCGCUAAUUGCAGCUUUCAAUGGAAAAUGUAUUUACGAAAUUUUCAGCAAAGAGAUCUUUGGAGUGAAGGCAAAGAAACUCGAGUUCGGCUUACAGCCGUACACAAUCCCAGAAACCGAAACGGUGUGCUACUUGAUGCCCUCGUCAAGCCCCCGCUGUGCCCAGUUCCCCCGCGCUCAGGACAAGGUUCACUUCUACAUCAAGCUGAAGGAGCUACGGGACAAGAUCAAGGGUGUGGCCCCAGUCGCCCGUGAGGUGCAAGAGACAGAGUACCACUUCGACUUGGGACUUGCCAAAGGCAGAAAUCACAAUGGAUUACAUGUAUACAGUACCAGUCAAAAGUCUGGACACACCUACUCAUUCCAGGGUUUUUCUUCAUUUUUACUAUUUUCUACGAUGUACAAUAAUAGUGAAGACAUCAAAACUAUGAAAUAACACAUAUGGAUGUAUGAAUGUAGUAACCAAAAAAGUGUUAAGACAAAUCAAAAUAUAGCCACCCUUUGCCUUGAUGACAGCUUUGCACACUCUUGGCAUUCUCAAAACCAGCUUCACCUGGAAUGCUUUUCCAACAGUCUUGAAGGAGUUCCCACAUAUGCUGAGCACUUGUUGGCUGCUUUUCCUUCACUUUGAAGUCCAACUCAUCCCAAACCAUCUCAAUUGGGUUGAGGUCGGGUAAUUGUGGAGGCCAGGUCAUUUGAUGCAGCACUCCAUCACUCUCCUUGGUCAAAUAGCCCUUACACAGUCUGGAGGUGAGUUGCGUCAUUGUCCUGUUGAAAAACAAAUGAUUGUCCCACUAAGUGCAAACCAGAUGGAAUGGCGUAUCGCUGCAGAAUGCUGUGGUAGCCAUGCUGGUUAAGUGUACCUUGAAUGCUAAAUGAAUCACCAACAGUGUCACCAGCAAAACACCAUCACACCUCCCCCUCCAUGCUUAACGGUGGGAACCACAUAUGCGGACAUCAUCCGUUAACCUACUCUGCAUCUCAAAGACAGCGGUUGGAACCCAAAAUCUAAAAUCUGGACUCAUCAGACCAAAUGACAGAUUUCCACCGGUCUAAUGUCCAUUGAUCGUGUUUUUUGUCCCAAGCAAGUCUCUUCUUCUUAUUGGUGUCCUUUAGUAGUGGUUUCUUUGAAGCAAUUCGACCAUGAAGGCCUGAUUUACGCAGUCUCCUCUGAACAAUUGAUGUUGAGAUGGUGUCUGUUUUUUGAACUCAGAAGCAUUUAUUUGGGCUACAAUCUGAAGUGCAGUUAACUCUAAUAAACUUAUCCUCUACAGCAGAGGUAACUCUGGGUCACUUGAAGAAACUUUCAAAGUUCUUGACAUUUUCUGGAUUGACUGACCUUCAUGUCUUAAAGUAAUGAUGGACUGUCGUUUCUCUUUGCUUAUUUGAGCUGUUCUUGCCAUAAUAUGGACUUGGUUUUUUACCAAAUAGGUCUAUCUUCUGUAUACCACCCCUACCUUGUCACAACACCACUGAUUGGCUCAGAUGCAUUAAGAAGGAAAUAAAUUCCACAAAUUUACUUUUAACAAGGCACACCUGUUAAUUGAAAUGCAUUCCAGGUGACUAUCUCAUGAAGCUGGUUGAGAGAAUGCCUAGUGUGCAAAGCUGUCAUCAAGGCAGAGGGUGGCUACAUUGAAGAAUCUCAAAUAUAAAAUAUGUUGAUUUGUUUAACACUUGUUUUGGUUACUACAUGAUUCCGUAUGUGUUAUUUCAUAGUUUCGAUGUCUUCACUAUUAUUCUACAAUGUAAAAAUAAAGUAAAACCCUGGAAUGAGUACAACAUUUUAAUUGGUGCUGUGUGUGUAUAUAUAUAUAUAUAUAUACAUUAUCUUCACACAAUACCCCCUACUGACAAAGUGAAAACAUGUUUAGGCAUUUUUAUUGAAAAUUAAAUGCAGAAUUUUAUUUCUGUAAAUAUUUACACCCCUGAGUCAAUACAUGUUAGAAUUAACUUUGGCAGUCUUUCUGAGUAAGUCUCUUAAGAGUUUUGCACAUCUGGAUUGUACAAUUACUUGCACAUUCUUUUAAACAUUUCUCAAGCUCUGUCAAGUUGGUUGUUGACCAUUGCUAGACAGCCAUUUUCAAGUCUUAACAUAGAUUUUCAAGCAGAUUUAAGUCUAAACUGCAACUAUGCCACUCAGGAACAUUCAAUGCGGUCUUGGUAAGCAACUCCAGUGAAUAUUUGAUCUUGUGUUUUAGGUUAUUGUCCUGCUGAAACGUGAAUAUGUUUCCCGGUGUCUGUUGGAAAUCCAACUGAACCAGGUUUUCCUCUAGGAUUUUGCCUGUGCUUUGCUCCAUUCUGUCUCUUUUUUUUUUUAUCCUGAAAAACUCCCCAGUCCUUAACUAUUACAAGCAUACCCAUAGCAUGAUGCACCCACCACCAUGCUUGAAAAUAUGAAGAGUGGUACUCAGUGAUGUGUUGUAUAUGCCCCAACAGUUUAGCAAUGUCUAACAAUUCACAACAAUACACACAUCUAAAGUAAAAGAAUGGAGUUAAGAAAUGCAUCAAUAUUAGGACGAGCAAUGUCAGUGGCAUUAACUAAAAUACAGUAGAUUAGAAUACAGCAUGUACAUAUGAAAUGAGUAAAGCGUUAUGUAAACAUUUGACCAGUGAUUCUAUGUAUAUACCCUAGCAGACUAAGGUGCAGGGUUGAGUAGCCGGGUGGUAGACGGCUAUUUAACAGUCUGAUGGCUUUGAGAUAGAAGCUGUUUUUCAGACUCUCGGUCCCAGCUUUGAUGUACCUGUACUGACCUUGCCUUCUGUAUGGUAGUGGGGUGAACAGGCCGUGGAUCGUGUGGUUGAUGUCCUUGAUGAUCUUUUUUGGCCUUCCUGUGACAUUGGGCGCUGUAGUUGUCUUGGAGGGCAGGCAGUGUGCCCUCGGUGAUGCGUUUGGCAGACUGCGCCACCCUCUGGAGAGCCCUGUGGUUGAGGUCGGCGCAGUUGCCGUACCAGGCGGUGAUAUAGCCCAACAGGCUCUCAAUUGUUCAUCUGUAAAAGUUUGUGAGGGUCUUAGUGGCCAAGCCGAAUUUCUUUAGCCUCCUGAGGUUGAAGAGACGCCGUUGCGCCUUCUUCACCACACUGUCUGUGUGGGUGGACCAUUUCAGAUUGUCAAUGAUGUGUACGCAAAGGAACUUGAAGCUUUUCACCUUCUCCACUGAGGUCCCGUCGAUGUGGAUAGGGGGGUACUCCCUCUGCUGUUUCCUGAAGUCCAUGAUCAUCUCCUUUCUUUGUGUUGAGAGAGAGGUUAUUUUCCUGGCACCACUCCGCCAGGGCCCUCACCUCCUCCCUGUAGGCUUUCUCGUCAUUGCUGGUAAUCAAGCCUACCACUGCAGUGUCGUCUGCAAACUUGAUGAUUGAGUUGGAGGCAUGCGUGGCCACGCAGUCAUGGGUGAACAGGGAGUACAGGAGGGGGCUGCACAUUCACCCUUGUGGGGCCCGUGUGUUGAGGAUCAGCAAAGUGAAGGCGUUGUUUCCUAGCUUCAUCACCUGGGGGCGGCCCGUCAGGAAGUCCAGGACCCAGUUGCACAGGGCGGGGUUCAGACCCAGGGCCCUGAGCUUAAUGAGCUUGGAGGGUAGUAUGGUGCUGAAUGAUGAGCAAUAGUCAAUGAACAGUAUUCUUACAUAGGUAUUACUCUUAUCCACAUGGGAUAGGGAGGUAUGCAGUGCAAUGGCAAUUGCAUAGUCUGUGGAUCUAUUGGGUAGUGUAAUGUAGAGGUGACAUGAUCUUUAACUAGCCUUUCAAAUUACUUCGUGAUGACAGAAGUGAGUGCUACGGGGCGAUAUUCAUUUAGUUCAGUUACCUUUGCUUUCUUGGGUACUGGAACAAUGGUGGCCAUAUUGAAGCAUGUGGGGACAGCAGACUGGGAUAGGGUGAGAUUGAAUAUGUCCGUAAACACUCCAGCCAGCUGGUCUGCGCUGUCUCUGAGGACGCUGCUAGGGAUGCCGUCUGGGCUGGCAGCCUUGCGAGGGUUAACAUGUUUAAAUGUCUUACUCACGUUGGCCUCGGAGAACGAGAGCCCGCAGUCCUUGGGAGCGGUCCGCGUCGGGGACACUGUGUUAUCGUCAAAGCGGGUCGAAGGAGGUGUUUAGCUUGUCCGGGAGCAAGACGUUAGUGUCUGCGACGUGGCUGAUGUUCCCUCUGUAGUCCGUGAUUGGCUGUAGACCCUGCCACAUGCGUUUCAUGUCAGAGCUGUUGAAUUGCGACUCCACUUUGUCUCUGUACUGACGUUUUGCCUGUUUAAUUGUUUUACGGAGGGAAUAACUACACUUUUUAUUCAGCUUUAUUGACUUGCCUAGUUAAAUAAAGAUAAAAUAAAAUAAAUUCCCAGUCACCUUGCCAUGGUUAAAUGCAGUGGUUUCCACUUUCAGUUUUGCGUGAAUGCUGCCAACUAUCCACGGUUUCUGGUUUGGGUAGGUUUUAAUAGUCACAGUGAGAACAACAUCUGCUAUUCACGUGUCAGUGUAUGCAUCGAUGUUAUUCUCUGAACAUAUCCCAGUCCACGUUAUCAAAACAAUCUUGAAGCAUGGAUUCCGAUUGGUCAGACCAGCGUUGAAUAUACCUUAGCAUGGGCACUUCCUGUUUGAGUUUCUGCCUAUAGGAAGGGAGGAGCAAAAUGGACUCAACUCCGGAGAGUUAGUUAUUACUGUCUGCGCAAUGUACUGAGAAUCCAGCUGCCUGUAUGGAUGGGGACAGUAUAUCCGGAGAGAGCCAUGAUUCUGUGAAACAGAAUAUGUUACAGUCCCUGAUGUCUCUCUGGAAGGAGAUUCUCGCCCUGAGCUCGUCUACUUUAUUGUCCAGAGACUGAAGAUUAGCGAGUAAUAUACUCGGAAGCGGUGGAUGGUGUGCAUGUCUCUAGAGUCUGAUUAGAAGUCCACUCUGAAUACCUCUUCUCCGCCGGCGAUGUCUUGGAGCAGCCUCUGGGAUAAGUUAAAUUGCCCUGGGGGGGAUACGAACUAAGGAUCCAAUUCGGGAUCCAAGUCAUAUUCCUUCUAAUGCUGGGGAGUUACCGCCGCUCUGAUAUCCAAAAGUUAUUUCUGGCUGUAUGUAACAAUACAAACGUCUUGGGCAAAUAAUGUAAGAAAUAACACACAAAAAAAUGAAAUACUGUGAAGUUGCUUAGGAGCUAGAAGCAGAGCUGCCAUAUCUGUCAGCGCCAUCUUGUCAUCAAGUCAGUUAAGGACAAAUUCUUAUUUACAAUGAAGACCCACCCCCCCGGCCAAACCCUCCCCUAACCCGGACAACGCUGGGCCUGUUGUGUGCUGCCCUAUGGGACUCCCGAUCACGGCUGGUUGUGACACAGCCUGGGAACAAACCAGGGUCUGUAGUGACUCCUCUUAGACCGCUGCGCCACUCGGGGGGCCCCUUUUCACUCUGUAAUUUAGGUUAGUAUUGUGGAGAAACUACACUGUUGUUGAUCCAUCCUCAGUUUUUUCCCAUCACAGCCAUUAAAUUCUGUAACUGUUUUAAAGUCACCAUUGGCCUCAUGGUAAAUUUCCCUAAUCGGUUUCCUUCCUUUCCGGUAACUGACUUAAGAAGGACGCCUGUAUCAUUGUAGUGACUGGGUGUGUAUAUAUACACCAUCCAAAGUGUAAUUAAUAUCUUCACCAUGCUCAAAGUGAUAUUCAAUUUCUGCUUUUUUUCCCCCUUUACCAUCUACCAAUAGGUGCCCUUCUUUGCGAGGUAUUGGAAAACCUCCCUGGUCUGUGUUUUGAAAUUCGCUGCUUGACUGAGACCUUACAUGUGAGGGGUACAGAGAUGAGAGGAUGCUAAGAGGAUGGCCAUCAAGGAAGAGCAGGUGGAUCCGGAGUACGAGAACUGCGGUGGGGCGUCCCAGGAUGCAAAGC